rnacentral:rRNA from 1 species
UGGUUAUGUGUGCCCAAGCAUUGAGGCAGUCAAAGUAGGCAAAUCCGCUUUGAUAAUGCUGGGAUGUGAUGGGGAGCGAAAUUUAGUAGCGAAGUAGCUGAUUUCACACUGUCAAGAAAAGUCUCUAGCGAGGUUAAAGGUACCCGUACCGCAAACCGACACAGGUGGGUGAGGAGAGUAUCCUAAGGCCAGCGAGAGAACUGUUGUUAAGGAACUCGGCAAAAUGACCCCGUAACUUAGGGAUAAGGGGUGCCACCAUCAGGUGGCCGCAGAGAAUAGGCCCAAGCGACUGUUUACCAAAAACAUAGGUUUCUGCUAAGUCGCAAGACGAUGUAUAGGAGCUGAGCCUGGCCGGGGCUGGAAGGUUAAGGGGAUAUGUUAGAGCAAUCGAAGCAGUGAACUUAAGCCCCAGUAAACGGCUGCCGUAACUAUAA